AGUCGAUGUAGCAGAAAAUGUAGCAAGUUCCAGCAAAAAUAGAAGCUGGUUCCAGCCCAAAAGCACGUCGGCAGUGCGGAGGCGCGUCCAGUCCCAUCAAAAUCACAGGAAGCAAAAUCCAAAAAAAGUAGAUGUAGCAAAAAAAAGUAGCAAGUUCCAGCAAAAAACCGUCCGCGGUGGGAGGGCGCGUCCGGUUCCAGCACCGAUGGAUGCAGGUUCCAGCAAAUUUUGUGGCUGGUUAUAGCACCGUUGAUGCCUGGUUCCAACAAAAACUUCGCCACACCAAAAAUUGCCGCCUCGUCGCAGCACCGGGCUCAGCCGGUUCCAGCAUCCUCCACCACAGUUCCAUCAUUUUGCCACUGUGGUUGCAGCACCCGUCGGCGUGGUCACCAUGCCCAUGGUGGGCAGCGCCAUGCUCGACCGGUUGCAGCAUCGCUGGACGCCGUCUCCAACACCAAUGGACGCCCCCGUCUCCAGCACCCGCUCCGCCACGCCGCCCCAAGGCCGCCGCCGCGCAGUGGUUAGCAGCGCGGCCCCCCGUCGAAGCCAUGAGGAUGGAGAAGGUGUAGGCCAUGUCCUCCCCCUGCCUUCGUGAGAACUGAUUUGAGAUCC
rnacentral:rRNA from 1 species